CUCACCAUGUCCCUCUCACUCUUAUUGCCCAGCAGGCACUAUGGUUCCUCAGCCAUGCCCCAAUGGCACCUACACUCUUCCUGGUGUCGAAGGUCUACAGAAUGAGAGAGAGUGCUUGGCCUGCCCCCCAGGAAAAUUUUGCAGGGGUGGUCAGAUAAGAGGCCUGUGUGCAGCUGGGUACUUGUGUAUCUCAGGCAGCUCAGAUUUGACCCCACGUGGCCCAGUUAUGACUAACACAACUCACUGUGAAUGGGGAGUGCAGUGUGCCGGACCCUGUCCUGCUGGUUUCUACUGUCCAAAGGGCACAGAGAAACCUCAAGCCUGCCCUGUUAAUACCAUAAAGGAAAUCCCUGGAGGAAGCAGCAUACAUAACUGUCUCCCCUGCCCACCCAGACACUGGUGCAAAGAGGGUGAUCCUGAGCUCUACAUGUGUCCUGAGGGUCAUUACUGUGAUGGUAUAAUUGAUUAUGAGUCUGAGGGUAGACCUGGACCAAGAAAGUGUCCUCGGUUUACUUAUAGACCUACUUCUGGUGCAGGAAGCAAAGGAGACUGUCUUCAGUGUCCGGCCGGAACUUUCUGCAAUGCUAUAGGUCUGACUGACUUCUCCAGUUUCCCCUGCCCCCCUGGGUAUUGGUGCAGUGGUACAGGUUUGCCAGUUCUUUGCCCUGCAGGCACCUUCAGAACUCAACCAGGGGCAAAUGCUUCUAGCCAGUGCCAACUCUGUGGUGCUGGUACCUAUUGCCCUGACCCUCGUCUCACUGGUCAGCCUAACACUGUGGGAAUUCCUUGCAGAGCCUCUUACCAGUGCCCCAUUGGAUCAGUUGUGGAGGACUUGUGUAGAGCAGGCUCAUAUUGUAGGCCACAAACUGGAGAACCCACUCCAUGCCCUGCAGGAUAUCACUGCCCUGAAGGCUCACACACCUACAACACACCACAGCAAAUGUGUACAUACCCAUAUUACUGCCCAGCUAACACCUCAACCAUGCUGUCAUGUGGUGGUGGCUUUAUGCCCCGUAAUGCCAGUGGCCUAAGAGUGUCUCAGGAGAGCAGCUGCUUAAGGUGUGAGGCAGGGACUUACCGACCCAGUGGGUCUCCUCACCUCCGCUGCCUUGCAUGCCCCCCAGGCUACCACUGCCCUCCAGGCACUGAUGACCACAGUAGUCAGCCUUGUCCAGUUGGAUAUUUUUGUCCACGGGGCUCAGCCAAUCCAGUUGCAUGCCCACCUGGCAGCUAUGGCAACAGCACCAAGGCUGAAUUACUUGAGGAAUGCCACCCUUGCCCUCCAGGCACAUUCAACCACCUGUACGCCCAGAGAGCCUGUUUCCCCUGUGGCAGCUCUUCCAUUUCAUCACAAGGUCUCCUCAUUAACAUUAACAUACUAGAACAGUGUCAUCAACACCGACUCUACUGCAUACAGUGAGUCCCGUUAAGUGAAAUUCACAACAUUUUAUGGUGACUUACUAUGGUCUUUAUGUCUAGGGGCAUCCUCAUGCAUGUGCAUAGGCAAAAACCGGGCAUUCCAGCACUCUGAUGGCUCCUGCGUGUGUAAAGCUGGUUAUGUCUUCUACAAUGAAUUGGACUUCAAAAGUUCCAAUGGUGAUAGUGAUCUAGACUGUCAACCUGAGGUGAGCAAACGCUGUGGAACUGGACAAGUGAGACUGGCUUCAUCACAAGACUGUGUCAGUCCCUCUGAACACUCAUGCAACAUUACUUGUGGAGCUCAUGGUGGGAGUCUGGAUGUAAGCUUGGGCAUUUGUCACUGUGAGAUGUAUGUCUCUGUGGAGGAGUUGUGUAACUCCUCAUGCUUGUCUGCACUGCCUGUGCUAUCUGCCAGACUGGCUCCAAAUGGACAGCUGGUGCUCAGGAUCAAAGUGAUGGAUGAAAGCAGGAUCUGGAGCAGGAAUAUCAUGAAUGUCCUGGGGCCUGACAGUCAUAUCAGCAGCUUCGGAAAGAUCCAUUUUGUCCAGUUUUCUCCAGAUGGAGUGUUUGGUUGGAUUUUAAAGGACCCUGUGCUUAUUGACAUCUUUUUGUCUGAGCCAUUUGAAAUUCUGGAUGGACAUCCAAGGAAGCGAAGACACACCCAUGAGCUAGGAUUACUGAUCUCAGGGCCUCUCCCUCGCAUUCCCAACCCCAUAGCCUGCCUUUCCACCAAUGACAUGCUCAUCUUUCAGCUCACCAUCAACUACACAGACCGUCUCCUCAGCCACUUUCCAGUCUAUCAAAAGAACCAUUUGUUCAGCAGUAACCCUACCUGGGACUUUGGUGCAUUCAGACAACUGGAAAGCCUUGUCAAACAUUCCCGAUUUAAUUCCACCAGAUUUGCACAUGCAUUCAUGGAGCCAGGGAAGUAUGUGUUCCUGGACAAUGCAGUGCCGGAUUGGAGCCUGAUAGUUGUGGUGAAAGAGGAGGGCACUGAGUGUGAUCCUACUGCAGCUGCCUUCCAGCCCACCUCUCCAGCACAGCUGGUGCGACAUGGGAUUGUCAAACAACAGCGACUCAACCUGUUGCCUGACUGGGGCACCAUUGGAGGGGUCUUGGUGCUGAUGGUGUUACUAGUAGUCGUGUUGACUCUGACUGCCCUGCUUCUGAGACCAAAUCAUGCCAACCUCAUUGCUAAAGGCAGACCAAAGCCUAAAUGGCGCAGCUUGGGAGAACCUACUGUUCCUGUAGCGUAUGUUUACAAUGAAGAGUGAUAGCGCUCUACUGGGACUCAGGGGAGUCGGUGAGGGUGCGGAAGAAGAAGAACCUGCUGUGUGCAAAGGAUUCAAGAAUAUAUUCAUGGAGCUGGAAGGAUUCAAUGUCAAAACACUGUACGACAAAUUAGAGGACCAGAAUUUGCAUCUGGCAUCACAGCUGGCUAAGCACCGCAAAGAUACACAGGAGUUCUACAGGAAUAUCUGUCAGCAGACUGAUAUACUGCGGGAUGUUUUGGAGAACAUGGAGCCCUCAAAACUGAUCCAGUGGAAGAAGAUUAUAGAUAGUAAGGCACAAGCCAAGAAGGAAUCAAUUUAUGUGGAGUCAUCGAUGGGCUUGAUGGAGGCUGUGCUGAAGUCUUUAGAGGCCGUGUUGUUUAGAUUGAAUGGAGAGGCCUGGCAGCAACAGCACCAGCACAGAGACAGCAGAGAGAGUGAAAUCCACAUCAGAAACACCCAGAUUUCUUCAACUGACAUGAGUGAACUGAAAGCACGGCCGGAUACAGAAGCAGCUUCUUCUGGCCAGGGUGGGAGGAAAUAUCUCUCAGUGCCCCCUUUGAGCACAGUACCCUGUGUGAGUGAAGAGGAUCUGGCCAAGCUGAUGGCGCUCACACCUCUCACCAGAACUCUGCAGGACAUACAGCAGUCUCUGCAGGAACUCAGCCAAAGGCCCAGAGCACAGGAAGAUAAGAGUACUCCUUCGGCAAUUCCCGACGACCCAGCAGAAUGGGCAUCAGCAAAGUUGAUCCCUGUUGCCCUUGAUAACCUCUCUCCAAGGUGCUUUGCAGUGUUCCUGUUUGGCUGCCAUGUUGUACAGCUGCUGAGCCGAGUCUGCUCGUUCCCUCCUGUCAUGCUGCUACUGGCUAAGACUCUUCCAGUCACGUGCACUGAUACUCUGUUGGUUUACUGCUACAAAGAGUUUUACUACGACACAGCCAACCAGAUCCUGUAUAUCCUUGAGAGCAAGCUUCAAAAUGCUGGCCAAUUUGUCUCAGUUCUCUUACACUCCAUGGCCUACAUUAGCUCAGGCUCUGCAUCUCGAGACUUCAUGGGUGCUCUCCACUCAGCGAUAUCUGCCCUAAGUAUGCAGUUAUUCCAGCUCACCUUCACUCAGGAGCAGCUGGAAUGCAAGAUUAAGGAAGAGAUUCCACAUGUUGCCUUUGGAACAAUAGCGGAGGACUUCCUCAGUGUUAAAAUUCCACCAGAAACUCAGUUCUCCCAGAAUCUGUUGGCAGAAAGAUUGCAGAAGUAUAAGUACUUCAAACUGGAGCAUUUCCUUUGUGAACAAAACCCCCCUCCAGCAAACAGAUCCGCAGAACAUCCUGGUCAAAUGAGCUGUAAAGGUCUAGAGAAGGUGAGGUAUUUGUUGUUGUUGUUGUUGAUUAAUACUUGAUGUACUGGAUAUACAGGUACUUUUAUAAUGAUAUGAUCUCCUCAUUGAGCUCCUCCUUCCAGAUACGGCUGUUUAUUGGUUUUAUAGCACAGCUUAGUGAAAUUUCUGGGCAACUCAGUUCACAAAAGCAAAAUAUACAGUCUGCCUCUUUCCAGAAUGAUUCAGAUUCACCUUGAGUUCGUGCAUUGUGUGUGACCCUACACUGAGUCACCCAGUUAACGUUCAAGUUCUUUACAAGCUUUCAGCUGUGCUUUGCUAUUUUUGGCUCCAACGUCUAGUGGGCUUUGAUGAUUGGCAAGCUACUGUCUCUCACAGUUUUUGUAUUCGCAUUUGUUCUCUCUUUUACUUUCUUCGGACUUGCAUCUGUUUUGUCAUUCAGCUUCACGCUUUCUCUUGGCAUCCAUCCAAAGUCUGCCCUUUGCUCACUCUGUCUUAGUGAGUCGUUGUCUCUCAUUGCAGGAGCAAGCAUCGAUGUUAAAGUGUCAGCAGGACACAGUAGAGCAGAGAUUGAAGGAGAUGAGAGACAGGCUGUUUAACUCUAGUGCAGCACAGAGAACUGUGUGUCAGGAAGAAAGCCCAUCCCAAACUACAGAACAAACACAUCCAGACAGCCAGUCCAUGAGCGAACACACAAUCAAGCCAGGUGACAACCAGGGAGAGGUCACUGAGCAGUUCCCCAGAAAUAAACAACACAGCAAACACAUGGAUGAAGCUUCUGGGGAAAAGGACAUGAUGGCUUAAAGUGGUUUUGUAUUAAAAAAACAAAACAAAAAAAACAAACAAACAAACAAAAAAAAAACAGUAACUACAGUACUACAGUGUUACAUAUUCUAGAUUGUUAUGUUGACUUAAUUUUCUAUAUUACUUUCUAUCUCUAUUCUGAAAUUUCAAAACGAUUAGCUGUAAAUACAUUUUUACUGUAAUGCCAUAAACACUCAGUCAUACAGUUAUCUAUUUUAUCAGAAACAAUCUGAGUGAAUAGUAGAAUAUUAGAAUAUUGACAUAAAUUUCAGAAUUCUCUAGUAUUUGGUAUGUUCCCUAUUGCUUCUCAAGCUCUUAUGCACUCAAGCUGUCAUAGACUCCAGAAGCUUGUGUAAAACCGGAUGAUCCGGAUGAUGUGCUUUAAUGUAAAGAAUUUAAACUCAGAGGGGAAUUAACAUGAUCAAUAUCACAAAUUUACUUAAGUUAAAAAGUGGCCUAGAAAUUUAACAGUUGCUUUGUUUGAAAUUGUUCCCCCCAAAUUCUAAAUUUCCAGUUUUAAAUGAAAAUAAAUAAAUAAAUAAAUCUCAGGGUUUCAACUUUGGUCUCAGACGUUUGGACCCCACUGUACUGUAUAUGUGGUGGCAUUGGAAAAAUCUUGACCUGGUGAAUUUUGGACAUUUUCUACUACAUAUAAUUCUAAAAACUAUAGCGUUUCCUGAACUAUGUUUCUCUUUUGCACGUUGUCAAGGUUUUUUACCAUCUGGUUACCUUCAAAACUGAAAAGGGAGAAAAUAACUUUUAAAGAUUGCAUUUGAGUGAGUGCAGGUACAUCAAGGACAUCUUCCACAGCUGAAAUCUGAUUUCACUAGAGUAUAUAAUUGUGCAUCUUUUUUUGCGCAGUUCAGUGUUUUCACAAUAAUCCUCACACUGUUGUCAUCACUAGCUCUACAUUGGUUUUUUGUACUGUAUUACUCAAUUUGCACAUUUCAUUCCACAUGCAGUUUGACUUGUGUAUUUCCUUUUCUUCCAACUCCGUGAACUCUCUCCCUAUGUUGUGGUUAUGCAUGAUGUCUGUUCAUUUGUUUAUGCACUUUAUUUUAACUGUACGGUCGCUGCCACUGUAGCACAAGCAUUGUAUUGUUUCUUCUGUACUCUGUAUUCUGGAAACAUUUGAAAAUAAAGUGAACUUAAGCUUUAACUCUG
ensembl:lncRNA